ensembl:lncRNA
GAAUUACUGGUGCAUGUUGCUGGGCUAUCAGUCAAUUGGAGCAAACCUGAAGGGAGACACUGGAAUGCAGGGAACACGCCAGUGAUAUCACAGUAGUGAUAAAAUUGCACACACUUUAAUAUUAUAGAAGGUGUUGCAUAAAUGUCUUGCAGGAGGUGCAGAAAUACCUUAUUGCUUACGUGGAUCUUCAGUCUGUGUCUUCAGUGACGCUGAAUAGCAAAUGCAUUUUCCUUCUGCCCUGAAAAAUGAGUCUUUCUGCAGUGAGGAGCAGAAUCUCCCCAUAUCUACCAGCAAACCGAGGAUCAGUACAGCUCUGUGGCCCGACUGCUGCAUGGAGGGGACCUGUGAAGCUCCAGCAUUUACAGGUGGCAGAUGUUGCCAGGUGCAAGGUGAGUUUCUGGGCUUGAACGGCACUGAAACACAGAAAACAGAAAGGGCAGAAGGGAGCACUGAAAGGGGAACUGCCUCCUGGGUCAACACGCCUUUAUUUUCACCAUUCCUACUCCAAAGUUGUGUAAUGUUUAACUGAAAAAUAUAACUAUAGCAAUAGUGGACUGAAAGCAAACUGCUGCGUGCUUCACUGAGCUGCAGGGUGUUUGCUCUCAGGGCUUGGGUUUUUGCUUUGCCAUGCUCGGUUUUUUCAGGUUGAACUCAAGCUGACAUCGGUGUGCGAGAGGAGAACUGGAGUGUCUGGGAACAAAAAGGUUUAACAAACACUUCUUCAGACUCUUUUAAGAAGGAUUUCCUUAUUUACUUGGGAAGGAUGUUCAGAAAGAUCCCCGAUAAUAAACAGCUAAUUCCUAAACUCCUAAGGUAGAGAACAAAGUAUUUUUAACAAUCAGUAUCAGAGCUGUGUGUUUGCUGCAUGCAGCCCAGAGCUUCGUUUUGAAUAACUCCCAAUACUUGUUUUUUCUCAUUAGCUGAGAUGUGAGUUAACACGUAAGCAAACUAGAGACCUCUCAGCAAGCAAAGCAUUCCCAACUUGUAUUCAACUUUGUUCAGUCGCUACUCUUAUUUGCCUGAAUAUCAACAUUAUCAGCAGAUUAACUACUGUUCUGAUCACUCAGAGCUGCUAGGUAACUUAUUAACAGAAGGUUUAUUCAGGUAAUGCAAAUAAAGUGCAUUUGAAAACAGAACAUAGAAUGUCAACAGUUAGAAAGAGCCUUCACAAAGGUGCUUUGAGUCCUGUUGAGGACUCGUAUUUCUUCCCAGAUCUGAGUGCACAGUGUUGAGGGAUCCGCAACAUUUCAGAUGGUGUUUCCAAGUGGAUGUGUAGAGUCGUUGGUCUUCCUUUAACUGGAAAUCAGCAUGGGCAGGAUUUCUGAGCUGGGGAGGAUGAGUGGAUCAUUUGACAGGAGGGAGAAGCUGCGGGAGGUAAUGCAUAGGGUGUGUGCAAGGUCCUGCAGCGGGUAGAGUAGGGAGGCCUUGAAAAUCCCCACUGCCCCCACCUCUGCAGAGGAGCCAGGAGGCCUUGCAAGCUCCUCCUUGUAACCCCCUUGGAGUUGCUUCUUUUACCACGGUUCCUUUGGAGCUGGGGCAGAGCAGUGCCUGGCCAUCCCCUCCCACGCUGUGCUGGAGCUGACCGGGACAACUGGGGCCACAGUGCAAAGAUAGAUAGAUCACAGAAGAAGGUUAAAAAAAAAGCACUUAUAAAAAAGUUUGAACUGACUGUUUUCUGGAAGCUGUUUCUCAGCAGGGACACCAGAAUGGGGGGGCACAGCUGAGGGGAUGACAAACUGCGCAGCACAGCAAAACAGGGGAGGAGACACUUAAAACAGUUUUGCUACACAUGGACGUGAUCUUGUGAUGAUUCAGUUGACUUCUUCUAAUUUUUCUAGUUGAUGAAGGAUCUUAGAUUGCAUGGGGAAAACUUUAGUGGUGGAGGAGGAGAACUGGAAAUGCAGCAAAGGCAUGUCCUGGAGCUUCAACCGUCAAUUCAGAUAUCUAUUCAAGGAAUCCAGACUUCCCUGUAAAAUGUUUCACAAUAGUAAAACCAUUUCAAAACCUUUUCCAGAUAAGAAUUGAAAACUUGUGUUGGCAGAUUCUGUAGGUGAGAUUGCCAUGGAGAAGGCUGCAGAGGGGGGUUUGUGUCCUUUUAAAGAUACAUGGACACACAGAGAUGGAUCUGGAGAAGCACAGCUCGAAGUUGACACUGGCAAGAGCUGACAAGGCCCAAAGAUGUGCUGAUGUAAGGCUUUGGUGGGACUCAGCUCAGCAGUGAGGAGGCUGCAAAUGGGUGAAGCCAUGGCAAAGCACACAGCGCUCGGCCCCAUGCUGUUGCUGUUUGCUUUGGAUCAGCUCUGGGGCUGCCAGCAAACUGGAUGUUCAGUUCAUUAGGCCAGCCAAGAGUUGGAUGGUUACCCUGUGGGCUAGCAAGGAGACACUGACACAGGGAAGAGUUCAAGGAGAGGAGGGGAACCUGUGCUUUCAUGCUGCUCAAACAGAUUGGGGGGAAGAUCUGCCUAAUGCUUAUCCAUAAUGAAAUUAGUUUUGGAAGGCAACGGCUAUUUAUGAGAAAUAGCUGCUAAUUACGAGAUCACUUCAUGGGGAUUUUUUGAUUUCAGUUUUGCUUUUGUGUUCUUUGUUACAAGCAGUUUCCAUUUUAGCAGUGCUUGUUGGCAAAGGAAGUGCUAAAUCCAAACUUGAGUUACACCCAUGCUUUGUUUCAGCAGCCUCUUCCAGCCAGGCACUGGGCAGUGCAGUGGUGCCCUUUGGGGAGGUCUCUGCAGUCUUCUUCCAUUCCCAUGGCUGGUUUAUGAAGUGGUGGCACAAAGAGCUCACGUGAUGUAUUUAGGGGGCAAAGUGGUACAGGGCUGCACAAGGAGCCUUCAUCCAAGGCUGUGGCCUGAGCUCCCCUUUCAUGAAAGAAGGGCUGGGGUCUUUCACGUGCUGCCUUCCACCACAGCUUAACAACCCACACUUUUGAGCCAUAUCGAAACCACACUGAUGUUACUCCAUGCCAGUGCCCAGCUGAAUAAAGGAUAUUUGCCUUAUUUAGGAAAACACAGCCCCCUCUUCCCCAUAAAGCAUUCUGGAGAGAAAGGAGGAAAGUGGAGCUGGGUAAGUGCACCUGGUGGCUGAAGUGUGACCACUAAGAGCAGGCUGUGAACUUUAAACUGCUCUUUUGACACAAGAGCUUAGCUCUUAAACUAGAAAACAGAGCCUUUGUACUCACUGUUAUCAGCAAGUUCACUGUUUUCACUAUUACAACUGAAAUAGGAGAACUGGGCGUGUAAUUACGUUAAUUUGAACAGCAAGGCAACUGGAUAGCACAAUAUGUCUGCCGGCUGCUGAUGGCUCUACAUGUGUUAUUUAAAUUACAGGAUAGCAGAGGACAAUGAGUUGCUCUUACAGAUCUAGAUAUGAGGGUUAUCAGGGUUCUCCCGUUGGAAUUGCCCAAGAGGAGAGAUCAUGCCUGGGACCCCUGCUGGCAGUGGAGGCCCCAUUGUGCUCUGCAGAUCUGCACACAACUGUAUUUUCUUCACUGUGCCUUUUUAAGACACAAUUACCACUGCUGACAAGGAAGGGGUUCUAAUUUUGAAUCUGAUAAUGAAACUGAUAAACCACCCAAAAGUAAUGGAUGUGCAUUUUGAGCACCCCUUACUGCAGCCUGCCUACAGAGCCUUCUCUCAAGAAGCACUUUCCUCAUCCCUCAAGAUAUCCAGAGAGUAGAGAUUAGAAAUGUUUUAUAAAUAUUCCUCACAUAGCCCGUUCUUUUUCUCCAGUUGUAUCCUCUUUCCUCACUCAGAGAUUUUCUCCAGGGUCAUCUGAGGUUGUGAUAACGUGCAGAGCAUCCCUCAGCAGCCUGCAGAGGUCUCAGAUUUACACCAUGUCCACCUUCAGCAGCAGUCAGAUUACUUGGCAUUUGCACACGUGGUUCUCAAAACUGAGGUAUUCAGGUCUGGCAAAUCAGAUGGAUCCUGCAUAUAUGCCUUCACUGUAUGCAUGCAUAUGUUGUACAAGUGCUUAUAUUCCCAGCUUGAACAUUGUGAAGAGAAAAAUGAUGUUUCUAAUUUGUAAUUUUUUUGCUUUGUGCUUAUCUUGUUAUAAGCAUAACAUGCACUUAUUCCAAAUAAAUAAUGUGUGUUUUAUCCCCAAGGGAGCACAAUAGCUGGGCAGGGACAGCAGAUUGCAGAUAACGUGCUUAUAACCAAUUAGCAGGACAAUGCAGUCCUUUCAAGUUUUCUGCAAAGUGUUUGGUGUAUAAAUGUGCACAGAGAGCAGAGCAGGAGCUGAGAUAUGAAGCUGAAGGGAAACUAUGGCAGCGGGAGAUAUAAACUGGCAAGUGAGGAAGUUUUUGCUAAGAGGAAAAAGCAGAUGAGAGCACAUUGUUAAAAAAAAAAACCCUUUUCAAGCAUGGCUUUCUGCCUGGAGAUUUGGCACUGUGCUUGUUUUGCAAGAAGUGUGUCAACUCCCAGUGCAGUUCCUGAGCAAAAUGGGUUUCCAUCUGGUGGGGCUCACAGAGGAAUCCCUGCUCUCCACCAAAUGAGUGUCUCUUUGCCUGCCGCGGAAUUCAGGCUCCUUACAGAGCAGGACCGGGGUAGAUAGGAGCCCUGGUGUAAGUCCUGAUGUAGAUUAGCAGUGCUCUACGUCCACUGAAGUGUGUGUGUUACUGGGCCCGUCCCUUCCCUCCUUAAGGGCAGCCCAGGUGUGAGAUGUCCUAUGGGUUGACAUUCUCGAGCCCUACAGCUCCUGUCACCACUCAUGAUGGAAUGCAUGGAAAGAGAAGAAAUCAUUCUAAUGGAUAUUUGAUCUCGCUGUUGUUUCUUCAGACACCAAACUAUGUCCACCUGAUGGAGGGGACCACCAGGAGGAAGAAAUCUCAGCACCCAUUUCCCCCUUAAUGUGCUUUGCAAUCCCCCCCAUGAUGAUAUUCAUCCCUGUUGGAGUACUGCUGUAGUUGAACCGGCUGUCUGUCUUGCACAUAGAAAGCAUCAUGUCCAAGCUGGCUUCUGAAAUUUCUCCCUAAUUUCUGCUCUUUGGUGGGGUCUCAGCAGUUACUGCAGAGCGUGAGUCCUGUGAAGGGUCACCGGUUCUGUGUAGCUGCAGAAGUAUCUGUGCUUUAUCCUGAAGCAGACAGCAUCAGUGCAAGGUCAGCUGGUGGUCAGCAUCGUGCUUCUCUGGGCCGGCAGCACAGCUGAAUGUUUCCAGGAAAUGAACAUUUGUGUGCCCCGAGGAGCAUUUUUAAGACUAAAUUAAUUGGGAUGAGCGAGUUGUGCACCUAAUUGUGUAAGGAGAGAAGAGGAAGAUGUCACCGUACUGCAAAACCUCUGGGUAAACAGCCUCAGCUGGAGUUGGAGAGCAAACAUUACUCAAGCUUCAAAAUGUUUGUGGGUCCCAAGACAAUGUUAUGCUUGUCUUGGCACACCUGGGAAGUUAUUGUGUAUGAAGGAGGUCUUUGGGUGAGACGAGAAGUGCUCGGGGUGAGGCAGUGAGCGAGGCUGGCAGUGCAUGCCAGGGCUCAGUGCUGGGGCCCAUCUGCUCCCUUCCCCACAUCCUCCCAGGUGAAGUUCAGCAGAUCUGAGUGGAUCCACCCUACCACGCACACAGGUACCUGUGUGGGGAGCGUGUGCUUGUGAGACACACUGCUGUCAUCCUUCAAGGAGCAAACUCAGACGGGGGACAAACUUCCCAUGCUCUUCAUUCCCAGGAUAAAAUAGACCAUCAAAAAAAAAACAAAAAAAAAAAAGCAAAAUUGUGACUCAGCGUGCAGUUACAGUAAGUUGAAAAGCCAGGAAUGCAGCAGUGUUGGACACAGCUGCAGAAUUCCUGUGGUUAUUUCCCUGUCAUGCAGUCUGAGCAGAAAAACAAUACAGAUACAAUAGGCUGAGAUGGAACUAACCCUGCAAAGUCUGCAAGGUCAGGUUAUUGACUUUGCCAGCGAGGAUCCAAGCACGCCCGACUCUCAUACCACUAAGCUGCAUGGCCUUCCUUAUGGUGAGAACUACACCAGUCAUGGAUAGUUGCAUGCAAAACGCCUUUGAAAGACCUCUCUUGAUCUCUGAUAGAAACACUGUUGCAGGAGAGAGAUGCUGCUUCCUUAUUGCAAAGGCCUGACAGAAGUCCUGCUCGCCUUAGGUUUAAACCUUCUCUUUAGCUGUGCAAGGAGGAGAUCCACAGAAAACAGAUGUCUAAGGCAUGAGGAGGUACAUGUGGAAGAGAGAAGAACAAAGGGCAUCUAGACAGACCCAGCUCAGUGGUGACAUGCUAUGCCUCAUUGUGUGGUGACUAACAGGAAGGCUGACAUCUCUGCAGCAGUAAAAUAGAUCGAGCUGGAAAAAAGAGGCAAUUUUUGGCUAUCUGGAGCCUGCCAGGAGUGUGAUAUCUGACUGCAUGCUGUUGGAUUGCGACAUUUCACCUGUUUCUGUUAGUCCUGGUGGGAAGGAAGUACAAAGGGCUGGAUAAGCCUGGCGACUUUGCCCUGCUGGACUCAUUUCACUUAAUGAUUAUUGCUCAAGAUAGACGAGAGCAGAGCAGAAACAAAACUUUCUUCACUCAGGGGAAACAAAACUUACCUGAACUGAUAGAGUUACCCAAGGUUUCUUUGCCAUUACCCUGGAGUAGGGAUGCGGCUCCAGGAGUGCAUGAGUGCAUGGCUGCAUGGCUGCGUGUGUGUGUGUGUGUGUGUGUGUGUGUGUGUGUGUGUGUGUGUGUGUGUGUGUGUGUGUGUGUGUGCAGCUCCCCAUGCCUGGCCACCAGCCUCGUGUCAGCUGGGAAGCGUUCCUGCUCCACUGAGGGCUUGUCUCUUUAUGAGCAUUUCAGGGAAACAAGGCUAGUGAUAGGGCUGAGCAGAUAAGCUCAGAUAAACAACAACAGCCCUGUUUUCUUCUGAGUUCUCCUGAAUGUUUUAUUGGUCUCUGGGAAAGCACCAGGUCAGAAUGCAUUGAACACACCUGCCUGCGGUGCAGUUUGCCUGUUGGGAAGGGUUAUGGUAAAAUCCCAGUCUGGUUUUAUUGUUCCGAGUACUGCUUGCUUUGUGCUGGUGCCAGGGGCUCCUUCACACGCAGAUUAGAUGAGGUAAUUAUCCAUAUGCAGGCAGAAGCCUGCCUGAGUUCCUUGUGUUCCUACUGCUCCCUCACAGUGACAAAGCCGAGGAGACCUCAGACCCCCACGUGCCCCAUGGCUGGGGAUGGCUGGCUGCUCGGGUCUGGGGACUCCCAUCAGCUGCAGAUCCACAGCUCCUAAAGAAAACAGGCUUUCUCUUGGCUGCAGCAGGCUGUAGCUAAGGUCUCAACGUGCUGAUGCCUUGGUCACCUAAUUUCUUCCUUAACAAUUAGUGAAGUCUCUCCAGCUGCUGUGAGGAGUUGGGUGCUUCUGGAGGGCUUCCAAUGCUGCCAAGCUUGGGGCACUUUCAGUAUUGUGAACAGUCGAGGAGAAAAACAGCAGGAACCAGGAACCUGGCAGCUGAUUAAUGUGCAUUUAUGCACUCAAACCUUGCUCGAGCAAACUGCUGACACUGAGAUGAGCUGCCCUGCGCAGGGCUGGGCCCAGGUGGGCACAUGCAGAGGAGUGCAAGAACUGCUCCCGAACCAGCCUCAGCUUGCAGAUCCAGUGGAGAGCAAGCCAACACCCUCACAGCUCUGCCUCAGAGCUCAUGGAGUCUUGGCACUUGUACAAACUGCUGAGAAGCUAACAGCAAUACUGGGAGGUGGAAUUCCCCUCUCCAACCUGCGGUAAACAUCCUCAGCUCCCCUUUGCGCCAGGCCCCGUGCUGUGGGUGGGAGAGCUCAGCACAGCUCGCUCCUACUCUUGAAUCUGGUGUUGAUCUUUAAACCUUCUCCUGCAGUGACAGUCCCCUGGAUUCUGAGACCAGCAGCAGUGCUGCUCACAGAAGGGGUUAGGCAUUAAUAGGAAAAGCACCUUCUGCCUUAACUUGUUUUUCAGCUGGAAAACAGAAAUUUGGUUACAAAACCUGGUACUGAUAUUAACUUCUAAUGAUUUCUGUGUCCUGGCUUGCUUUGGAGGCCAGCUGGUUUUGCUUCCAGCUCUGCAUACUGAGUCACUUGGGGUCAGGCUGAGGCGGACACCUGCAAGUAGAGUGACAGAUUGGAGCUGAGUUAAGCAGGCUGCCCUUCACUGGUUACAGAGCGAGUAAACAAGUCUGUUGAGGAAGCGUUAGGAGGAAGAGCAUGCAGCUGGGUUUGCUUUGGUGGGUUAACAUGCAAAUAGCAGGUUCCCUGCUCCUCACAGCUCAGGUGAUACUGUUCUGAGCAGGCAGAAGAGAGCAGAGUGGUCUCUGCUGAGGAUAAAGAUGUAUUUCAGAGCGACGCCAAGAAGUAAGUUACAAUUAGAACGUACAUUCGGAAGGCCCCAAAAGCUGGGAUGGGCAGCUGAUAUAAGCAUGAACUUGCAUCUGCCUCAAGGUGACAAGUCUUUUAGUUCUUGCUCAAACUCAGAAACUCCCUUGGAAAUGCAAUCAGGUGAGAAGAUUACCAGCCCAAAAAAAUCAGGCUGAUGGCACUCGCUCUAAUAGGUGGGCUGAGGCCAAAUUCAUGCCAACAGCCUCACCUUAUUUGGAGUAAAAGGAGUAUUAUAAACCAAGAGUCAGUCUAUAAUCCUUAAGAAAGCGGUUCUAGGUUUGUUACUGCUACAGCACGUGUAGUGUAUGUAUGUAUAUACUUAUAGUAAGUGGUUCCUUAGUGAGUGCUUAAAGAUAGAUGUUGUCUGGAAGCCUCUGUUUCACCAGUGGCCGUGUUGCUCGGGGUGAGCCAUGUGAUUGCACGGCCACAUUCACCUCUGUAGCUCUUCACCGACUUACAGUGCUCUGCUGUGGAGUUGGUGGAGUUGGACUAAACCCAGUGGAGAUGGGUCUGUGCCCAGAGAGGGUCUUUCUGCACAGGACUGCCUGUCUGUGCGCCAACCAAUGGGGGGUUAGCUGUUAAAUCCACAGUGUGCUCUCUAAUUAAUCUUUUCAGCACAGGUUUUUGUUUUAUUUAUUUAUUUAUUUGGUGGAGGAGGGAUGUGGUGAAGCCCUGCAAGUAGGUACUGAAUGUGUUUUACAAUCCACAGCAUGUUCACAUGGCGGGGAUGGAGGUGCUGGAGCAGAUGAUGUGAUAGCUCUUAAUGCAACGCAGAGCGUGUGCAUGUGGCUGGAUGGUGGAAAGCACAAGAGGUAACUCAUCCGAUGGCUAAAACAACCCCCAGCCCCUCUGCUGACAACGCCAGGUGGUGCUGGCUGCCAUGGGCUGCUUUGGUAGCGGGACUCUUGGAAGGGCCCUUGUUCUGCAGUCAGCUGCCUCGCACAGCAGGGAAAAGCAGAAAUAGCUUCCCUAGGUUACCCUUGGGAGUUGAAAUGCUGCCACUUCCAGGGCCACUCAUCUCUCUCUGUAGAUCUGGGAGAUGCUGCUAUGUCUUCUUUCCGUGCAUCCAUGCUUAUAUCAUUGCAUGUGAAGGCAAUUAAGGAUCAGAGCAUGCAGAGACAGCAAACAUGAGACCCAGCAUACACCCCAACUGGCUUACAACUCUGAACCAAUAGGAACAGGAGUUGAAAAAAUCCUCAACAUCUGCCAAGGUCUGAAAGAAAAUCAGACUCCAGGGGGAGAAUGGCACCGGUUUGGCUCUGUUUUAUGCAAGAAAUCUCAGAGCAAGCUGUGUAAAUCCGUGACUCAGGGCCUGGGCAGCCACAAUCCUGGGUGCAGUUCCUGCUGUAAUGCUGCAUUUCCCUGUUUUCAAAACACGCUGCACGUUUCCACGUGAGUCUUUGCUUUAAGCGCUCCCUCUGCUGGCUGUCGUGUGAAUUAUGGUGCGCUAAUUCAACACCCCAGACUGCAUUUCAACUGCAGAGAAGUUCCUGGGUUAAUGGCAAAAGAUCUUUUUCUGUAUUUCUCUGCCACGCUCUGAAUCGUGCAGCUCAACUGCACCGCACCGACACGGUGUUUGUGGGGGGGACCGUUUUCUAUUUACACCAAUUAUUACUGAUGGCUUAAAGUUCUCAUUACAAAGCCCUUUGCCCCCUUAAGGAGCUCUGCCUCUCCUGCAUCCCUAGGCUGUCUCAUUAUAAAGGACAGCAGUUAAUAUUAUAAUCCCUCCCUUAACAAAUGA